GUAGAUGGCGGGCUGCACAAGCAAAUGAACUGAGCAGUGACUUGAGCUGGGUAAAGAGGAGUCUAGACAUCUGCUCCUGACCAUCUUGAAAUUGAGAAAGCAGAGAGAGAGAGAGGACACAGAGAAAACAGCCUGUUCCUAAUCCAGUCAAGAAGUGCUGCAGCAGCAGAGAGAAAACUUAAAGCUGGACUGAUCUGAUUUACAGCUUGUGGAAGUUUAAGCCUGAAAGCCUUCUUUCUCUGAAGUCACAUACAGAUAAAAUACCUUGAUCUCAGUUUUAUUGACAUCUGAGAGUUUCAGCCUACAUCAAGCAACAAUGUGGAGAAGGACUUAUGGGUCCCACCUAUUCAAUGUGCACCAACUGAAUGUAGCCAAUGGACACUAGGGGGAAGUUUAAGUAAGGCCGCUGCUACAGCAGAGUGUCCAGUGACGUCACACGCUGAUCCCGCGAGGCUGAGACGCUGUAGUGCAUUGGAGAACCAGCAAACAGCUUUCUAUCAGACCGGGCACGAGCGUGGACUGAUCGACAUCAGAUUACCGAUCCGUGUAUCCUGUGGACUAUGACCGGUGUUUUUUUUUUUUUUUGUUUAAUGUUAAUAAAAUGGUUACCAAGGG